UCUGGGCUCAGAACUGCCAGUCUGCUCAAGCUGCUGGUUGUUCAUUGGCAGUGGCAGGGGGAAUUUUUAUCCCCCCCCCUUUCAGGUGAAAAAGCUUGCAGAGGGUGAGUUUGAGCUUGCAGUGCCCAGAGAUGGUGCCCAGGUGUUCUGUCUCAGAGCCCUGUAUUGAUAAGUUCAGUUAAAAGCUAGCAAACAAAAAAACUUCAGGCAGGAAAAAAUGGUGUCCUAUAUCAUCAGGGAUGGCAAAGAUGUUGGUUGAAGCUGAUGGGAGCUGGGAGUCCAAAAACAUCUGGAAAUUUACAGGUUAGUUACCUCUGUCUUAUAGGAUACUUGAUGUUGAGACUCCUGAUUCAGUGCUCUAUGGUGCAUUUACAGCAAGGGUGUGGGCAGAGGGUGGAGUCUUGCCUACAUACAUUUAUAAAACCACACAGUGGCUUAUCAAAGUGUAAAGCUCAAUCACUGACUCAACAGUAUGCUAUAGCAAAGAGAGUGACAGUCCUAGGCUUGGGCAAAUCAUUCUUUUUCAGCCUAACCUACCUCACAAGGUUGUUGUGCAGAUAAAAUAGGGAGGAAAACCAUGUCUGUCAACCUUGCAGGAAGAAUGAUAACCUUGGGCCUUAUGGUAGUAUCAUCAUCAAGAUCUCUCAGGCAAAGACAGGUCUCGUAAUUAUUGUACUUCCCUGCAGGACAAUGGGAAUCUUUCUGAUAAGAAUAACAGAUGAUAUAUCUCAUGGAAUCAUUUCAUAUGCCUUAGGUUGUGGAUACGAUUUAGAAUGUACGCACUUACUUUUUACCUUUCAUGAUACUUAAAUCUGUGUAUUUAUUCUGUGUGUGUCACAGAAACGCACCCCCCAAAUGCUAUAAUUUUCAGUAGUUCAGAAUUUAAUAUGUGUUCUAACAAAGUUUUGGAGGCCAGGAAAAUACUCUGUGAGGCAAGAAGGUAAAAAAAAGUCUGAAGAAGAAUAUUCUGGUGUUAGUUGCAAAAUUCAGGACUCAUUGGACAGGGGAAAAAUAGGUAUUGUGCCUUUUAACAGUUAAACAUAAAAAAGAGGACAGGACUGUGCAAGGAGGGGGUGGGAAAGGGGGAAGCUGAUUCAUUUCAUGUUGAUGGGAGAGUGGAGACAGUCCAGGGCCAGCUGCCAAAACUGUAGGCUGGGAGAGCACUCAAGAGUCACUCCACAGGGAACAGCCUGAAAAGGUAGUGUCUGUUUCUGAUGCUGGAGCAUCCAUCACAUGGUGCAGUGCUGUUGUUGCAUAAGAUGGUAUGAUCACUGGGGUGCCUCGUGGUUCCAAAAUAAUAUGGGUACCUGCCUCCCUCUAUUACAGAUUGUACCAGGUCCACACCAUGGCUUUCUCCUUUAUAACAGGAAAUUCUAAUUGGCUGGUUUACUAGCUGUUGAGGCCUAUCUUUGAUCUUAGCACUGUGGGAUGACUUUGCUAAGAAUGGAGGUAGACGUGUGCCUGCGUAUGGGCCUUAAGCUUCAUGUCACCUCAUGUCAUACAGUCCCAGAUGACUGACAAUUGGGUGGCUGUGCCUAUCUGUCAAAAAUGGUCCACAGGGGGUCGGCUAGUUCUGAGUCUAGUCUUCUGGCUGGACCCAGUUCCCUACCCUUGUUCUAGGGAGAAGAUGGCCUUGUGUCUGGUGAGCUGGGCAGCUGGACCAGUGGUCUGCCUCAGCCAAAGGCAACUUCAUUGUGAACAGUGACAUAGAAAGGCCAGCUGUCUCUUGGGGCCAAAGCAAGCCUAGGUGUCUAAAAUGUGGCAGAGCAGGGCCUUCUCUUCAGUGGCACCAAGCUGAUGAGCAAGGUCAGCUUAGCCAUUCUAUUUACACCUAUUUUGCCCCCCAGAUCCUAACUACAACAACACCUGUUUGAUCAAAACAGUUCCAGGUAUGUAUACGGCAUACAUAGGCUUCUUUGAGUGUAUCAUUUUUUUGUCCAAGGCAGGGCCACCUUUGAACAAUUAAUCCAGGAACAUUCUCUCCCAUCACUAGUGGACACCAUGGUGAGCCAGGUUCACACCUCUACAUCUACAGCAUGAUGUAGAGCUCACCCCUGCCCCAGCAAGCCCUGCAGAGAGGCAACCUAAGAGUCACAGAACUGUAGAUCCACUUCUGAACAUGCUUUGAACCCUUCUCUCCCAGCUCUGAGUCUAGUCUCCUUCAAGAACCACCGACCAAAGCCUUGGACCCAUCCCAGCUUUCCAUUUUCUGCAGAAGGUCCAAGAGCUCCCUGCUCCAAUUCAAGGCCCUGCCAAUCCUCUUGCUCCACCGCUAUCUGGCAAUUUCCAAGCACAACCCUCAUUAGCGAGGAGCAGGACACAGAAGUGGUGGCUUUCGGGCACAUUGCGCAGCCACCACGGCUGCAGAAAAAAGGCAGCCGUGCAUAUGAACUCUCUAGAUCCACCUUGAUCAUUUUGCCCAACGCUGCAGCGUAUAAGGAGCCUAGCUACUGAGAUUCCUCUUCCCGGCAAAUUCAGUUCAGCAAAAGCUUUCAUGUUCAGUACAGUGCAUCAUCUCCUGGGAGCUUCCUUUAACAACACUUAUAAAUGAGAAAACAAGAUAACUUUAGACUGCACAGCUGCGGGGGUGGAAAAUGGGAGGGAGGGGGAGUGUGAAUCCAUCCAUUUGCUCAAAAGGCCACCAAAAUAUAAUGCAUUGCUCUAAUAAGAUUGGAAGGUGUGGGAUUGAUUCAACUUUUCACCCCUUCCCCAAACUGUUAAGAGACAUGCCCCCAAAUUUUGCAGCUCAGUGUCUGCUGUAAAAAGUGGUUCUUUCAGUGAAAUUAGAAGGGAGAACAAUCUGAGGGGGGCGGGGGACUCCUACAGAAUAUAUCCAAAGGGCUACUAUUUUUUUUAAAGGGAAAAAAGGGGGGUUUUUAUUGCUAGGCCACAUUCGCACAAUACAUUUAAAACAGUCUGUGAUACCACUUCAGAUAGUCAUGGCUUCCCCCAAAGAAUUCUGGGAGAUGUAGGUCAAGGGUGCUGAGAAUUGUUAGGAGACCCCUAUCCCUCUCAUAGAGUUACAAUCCUCAACAUGGUUUAAUGGUCCAUAUUUAUGCACAGGAAACUUUGAGAAUUGUAGCUCUAUGACCUACAGCUUUCAAUGUACACACCAGCAGCACCAGGUAUAUGGAGCUGAGGGGGCUUAAGCUUCCCCAAUAUUGAGGGGGGCCGCCCCCUGCUGUCGCUGGGUGCCUCUGAGCACCCCACCCCAACCUCUGCCCAGCAGCUCAGGAGCCAGGCUGUGGCUGGGACAAGUGAAGCAACGAUCACCCAUGUUGUCCCAGCCGCUGCUGAGUUUUGACUCUGUAAAAAAGAGCUUUGGGUGCUGGGUGAGACCUGGUGUGCAAGCAGUGGAUUCUGGGCUACUUGUUGGCAUGUUUAAACCCUGUCUUCACUGAUGCACUGUCUGUAGACUUGUAAAUAAAUGCAAAUAUUACAAAACCCCAAUACUGUAUGCCUCAUGCCCGCGCCUUCCAAAGGAAACCAAACCUGGAUAAGCUCUGCAGCCCUGGAGCUGCUCAGAAAAGUGAAGGGAGAAUAACAAUGUUGCAGAAGCCUUUUAGGACUGGGCUCUUGGAUUAUUAUUAAUAUUGGCAAGGUACAGGCGGCUUUCAAAAGAACAAUGCUCUAAUGUUUGUGAACUCAUUAAAAAACCCAUCUGCUGGGUGGCUUCUGCAGAUCAGAGAGAGCAGAAUCAAUAGGCACACACACACAAAAUAGAACUUAAGAACAGGAAACACAAUUUGAGUUGAGUUUUGCUUUUCAAUGUGGGAAUUGUUUCAAAAAGCUCAUUUACAAAUAUAUAUAUAUGGCUGUGGUGAGCAGCCUUUUGCAGUAGGUGCACACACACAUAUUUUUCAAAGGACUUGUGGGGAUCAAAUUGCGUCUGAUGAAAAACACAACAUAAAACGUCUUGUGCCUGUGGCUUCGUCAUGCUGGCCAUAUGACCCGGAAUCUGUCUGCGGACAGAAGUCGGCUCCCUUUGCCAGUAAAGUGAGAUGAGUGCCACAACCCCAGAGUCGUUCAUGACUGGACUUAACGGUCAGGGGUCCCUUUACCUUUACCCCUCUCUCUAUGGGCUCUGCCACACUUUCACUCAUGCCGUGCCUGGAAAGCAUGGAUCUGGGCCACUUUCUAGGCAUGGCUUUGAGCAGCUUUCGUCUUGCCCCACUCCUUUCCUAGGGAAAACCCACUCUUUGGCGGUACAUUGGAACAAACUGCAAUCCAGGGGAAAUCUGGAAUGAUCGUUUGCUCCAACUGAGUGCUAAACAGCAGUUUUCCCCAGGUGAAAGCAGCGGGACAACAGGAAGUGUGGACAGGGACAAAUAAAAGAGGACACCUUCGCCCUGGUAUUGCUCCCCAUUAUUAUACACACAGCCCUACAAGACAACAACAAGAACCCACCAACAGCAUCCAAACUGAUAUGACUCACUUGACCCAAAAACCUCUCCCUCCACACGCAUGCAAACAAGCCUCGCUGCAGUCAGCGGAAGCUACCAACCAGGCCCAGACCCCAGACCCGCGCCCCCCAAACCUCUCUCAAUACCAAUGAAAACUAAUACAGUAAAGGAAUAGAAAGAGAACCUACCCACGUGACACUGACACAAAACCUCACACACACACACUAUGCAAAAGAAUGAAAGUUUUAUUACCCACCUUCCCUCCUUCCCCACUCCCCCUCCCCUGCCCUUAUACCGUAUACAAAAUCAAAGUCUCACAUUGAAUAUCACUGAUGUGUAGAAAGGACUUUAUGAUGUGAAAAUAGAGAUGGUGUGUGUACCUUGUAAAACCCCGCUCCCCAUCUUAAUACAGUCAUACCUCAGAAGUUGAAUAGAAUCUGUUCCGGAAGGCUAUUCAACUUCCAAAACAUUCGGGAACCAAGGCAUGGUCCUGCAGCCAAUCGGAAGCCGCGGAAGCUGUGUUGGACAUUCAGAUUCCAAAGAACGUUCACAAACCAGAACAAACACUUCCAGGUUUGCUGCAUUCAGGAACCAAAACCAAAAGGUGUUUGACUUCUGAGGUACGACUGUAUCUUAAUAAAAAUAUUUUUUUUAAAGAGGAAAUGUGGAUAAGGCCUUUCCCUCACAUGGCCUAAGGGAAGAUUGGAAGCUGUCGCCUCUGCUUUUACUCACCAGAAUUAUCCAUCAAUGCUCUGAUUAAGGUACGGUUAGUUCAAACCAGCCAGGAUCGAUCCAUGGUGUAUGUGCCUGGCUUCUUCACUAACCUUAGUUUACUAACCCAAGUUCAAGCUUAGGCUGUGUAUACCCUAAUCUUUUCUCUGGCUCCACUGGGCCCCCACCACUGCAGAUUGUAGCAGUAUCUACAAUUCAUAUCUGGUCGUUUCUUGAGAAAGGCUGCUGUUUGAUGUGUUUUCUCUCAAACCAGCUUCCCUCCAAUUAAAAAAUGUAAGCUACACUCGCUUUGCAGUUGAGCUGACGUGUGUACACUUAAGAUGUCAUGGUGUACGUGUAGACGACAACUUCAUGAAUGAGUUCAGGGCAUUGCAGGCAUGGGAAAAUCUAAAAGGUGAUGUGCAGGGCUUUUUUUCAGCCAGAACUCGCCGGAACCCAGACCCGGCAUCUCUUAGGUGGGCACCAUUGCCAUUAUAAGAGAACAAGAGAGGCAUUCAUGGUGAGUUCUGGCACCCUUUUUCUAGAAAGUAGUGCUGGUAAUGUGCAUCAGGCAAAGCCAUCCCUGCCCCCUCUCGGGUGUGUACAGCAAUGUGCAAAAGCCCCUGGAAAUGGGCUGGGGGGCCAAAUCGACCUUGUUGCAUUUUAAGCCAUUAAUAGCCUUUAUAUGAAUUUCUGGUUAGUUCAUAAAUGGAAACAGAUGUUUCUGAUCUCCUCACAGCUGUGCCAGAGAAGGAGGGCAGGCACAUGAGCUUUGAGGCUGCUUCAAGCUCAUUCACGUAAAGCUUAGCAACUGUUUCGGGUUCCAUCUGAAUUAGUUUGAACCAGCCCAUUGAGCUUCUGUCAUUUGGAGAUACAGUAUUCAAUUUGGCGUGUUGAUUUUUCUCAUUGUCAGAAACACUUCUAACUGGGGGCUGCCAUCCAGUGGUACUCCUGGUGGUUUGUGGAAGACUUCUGAGAUGCAGUGCUCCCUGAAUUCAGUAACAGCUUACGACAAACAUGAAAAGUGUUGUGGCAAUCACGGUUCUAUUCCACACACACACACAAACACUGUUAGCCUUACAGAAUGGUACAGUGCGGCACUGUUUCACUAGCUGUGAAAACAGCUGUUAUUGCAGAACCAUCUCCCCAUGAUCCAUCAUGAAAAUUGUACGAAGGUUGGGUGGAAGAACUUACUGUUGCAUAGAAGAGGGGAUUCGGUAUGGCACAGCUGGGGUCUGAGCACAGCAACCACCCACCGCUGCAUGAACUAUGAGGCUUCCUCUGUUACUUCUUAAUAGAUAUUGGAAAUCAAUAAAAUAAAACCCUCCCACUAAAAUUAGGACUGAUUAAAUACUAUGGCAACAGUAUGGGAUCCUCAGCUGUUACUGCAUUUGAACAAUAAGGCAAAUGGGGCUUAAAUGGGUCCAGGGUUAUUUAUUGCUCCUUGUUCAAAAGUGUUGCAUGGACCAAGUCCUUCUUCACAGCUUGCUAUGGGCGUAAGCCAUGAUGCAAGGACUGGAAGAGACUGGCCGUUUAUGCCUCUGCACUGUAGCAUUAGCAAUGUUUUUGUUUUCUAGCCUGACCUUCAACAUGUCUUUUAAGUGUAGGUCAGGGGUAGGCAACCUAAGGCCCAGGGGCCGAAUGCGGCCCAAUCACCUUCUCAAUCUGGCCCGUGGACAGUCUGGGAAUCAGCGUGUUUUUACAUGAGUAGAAUAUGUGCUUUUAUUUAAAAUGCAUCUCUGGGUUAUUUGUAGGGCAUAGGAAUUCGUUCACCCCCCCCAAAAAAAAAAUAUAUAGUCCGGCCCACCACAUGGUCUGAGGGACAUGGCUGAGAAAGUUUGCUGACCCCUGAUGUAGGUAGUCACAACACAGGCCUUGUACUUUGCAGCAAUAACAUUGCUUAGAGUUUGGGGUGGGGGAGGAAAUAGGCUGUAUGCAAGAUCCUUUUAACUCCUGGAUCCAGGAAGUGUUAAAAUAUAACCAGGCUGUGUUGAGGUGAUCGCCUGGGUGAUGGGCCAUUCAGAGAACAAACAAAAGCAGGCUUUGUGAGAGAUGGCAAGUGGCUGGGGCCCCUCCUUCAACUCAGAGAUAGCUAGAAGAACAAAGCCUGAGUUGAGAGUUGAGAGUGAAGGGAUGUGACCUAGAAAUAAAGCAGAAAGCUGGAGAGAGAGGCAGAGCAAUGUUUGAUUUCUGUUUUAAUCCAAGGCUGUGGCUAUGGGAGAAACAAGACUCUCUGAAUCACAGAAUCAUCAAGUUGGAAGGGACCUCAAGAGUCAUGCAAUGCAGGAAUCUCAACUAAAGCAUCUAUGACAGACGGCCAUCAGACGGAAUCAGUUUAUUCAGAAACAGGUUAAAGUGGGAGUUCUUAAAUACCUCCGUGAAGAGGUUUUGACUUAAACACAGUAUUGUGCUUUUUUUAGAGUAACCAUCAAGCUAUAACCCUCACUGAGUGUGUUUAAAUAAACUUCCAGUUUAUUUAAUGCUUCAUUGUUACUUUGCUACUCUGGUUGAAGGAUAAGAGGCCACAGGUUUCCCCUUCAAAUUAUUAACGAUCCUUGCUGCUGAAUAUUAGAAAAUGCUCCCACAUACAGAUAAUAUCAAACCUCUCAAGUAUUACUGACAGGGUGUGUCUAGAUUUUCCAGCACCCAAAUCUGAUCACAUUACCUCACUCCCAUCUUUAUUGAGGGAGGUUGCCACACACCCCAACACACUACCUUUGUGUUUUGUAUGACACAGAUUCACGUGUCAAUCCCUUUGCACACGUAUUAGGGAGUAAGCCUCAUGGAACAAUCUGGGAUUUCGAAUAAUAUAUGCCCAAACAGGAUCUAGUAAGAGAUGGGGAGCAGGUGGCGAUGUGGUCUAAGCCACUGAGCCUCUCAGGCUUGCUGAUCAGAAGGUUAGCGGUUCAAAUCUAUGUGACGGGGUGAGCUCCCAUUGCUCUGUCCCAGCUCCUGCCAACCUAGCAGUUCGAAAGCACGCCAGUGCAAGUAGAUAAAUAGGUACCGCUGUGGCGGGAAGGUAAACGGCGUUUCUGUGCACUCUGGCUUCCAUCACGGUGUUCCAUUGCACCAGAAGCGGUUUAGUCAUGCUGGCCACAUGACCCAGAAAGCUGUCUGUGGACAAAUGCUGGCGCCCUCAGCCUGAAAACGAGAUGAGCGCCGCUCCCCAUGGUUGCCUUUGACUGGACUUAACUGUCCAGGACCCCUUUACCUUUUACCUUUAUAGUAAGAGCUGUUCAACAGUGGAACAGAUUCCCACAAGAGGUGGUGGACUUUCCUUCCUUGGAGGUUUUAAAGCAGAGGUUAGAUGGCGUAAGGGCCAGAAUAAUAGUUGGGCAAUAUGAAAUCCAAUGCAAUAGUUGUGCUAGCUGCCAGAUGCCUCCAGGCACCUCCUUUUCCUUUCAGUUUCUCACGUGGCUCUAUAAAUUUGGAGCAAAUAAUGCUUUUGCCAAAAAUUAUUCCUGUCCCCAGAUUUCCUGCUUGCAGAAUCUGUAGUAGCUCAACCAUUACAAACAGCCACUGCAAGUGUUUACAGAAGAUUCCUCCCCGUGCUUUCAGGGCAUAUUAGAAGACUCAGAUUUUCACACACAAUUAUUAGUGAAUAGGGCAGAAGAUUGAUUAACUCCAUUAGGGAGUAGUUAAUGGAUGGGCUAGUCUGGUUUUUUCUUUGCUUCAGUUGUGUAUGGUGAAAAUUCUUGGCAGCACAGGGGAUAUUAACAGAGACACAAUGUUCAGCCAGGCCCCACUCCAGCUGUAGUUGUGUGCAAUUAGUGCAUAGCUAAUGACGGCUCUAGAGGUGGAUAUGUGGAUUCCUGUUUGCAGCAAAAGAUGUAUCUAGAUUCUAGGCAGUUCAAUUGGCCCCACAUAAGCAAUGCACUAUGGAUGCACAUCCAGACAUUUGCAAAGUCUGCAGAGUUCUGCCAAACUCUGAUCUUUUGCUUCCUAUUGUAAGCUUUAAAUCAUGGGUAGGCAAACUAAGGCCCGGGGGCCGGAUUCGGCCCAAUCGCCUUCUAAAUCCAGCCCACGGAUGGUCCAGGAAUCAGUGAGUUUUUACAUGAGUAGAAUGUGUCCUUUUAUUUAAAACGCAUCUCUGGGUUAUUUGUGGGGCCUGCCUGGUGUUUUUACAUGAGCAUAGAGAGAGAGAGCUCUUUGAAAAUGUGCACCAAUCUAUUUGGUUUUCUAGUAAGGGGGGCAUUCUUUCUUUUCCAUAGUUUUUGCAAUUUUAAUUUUAAAACCAUACAUAUUAAGGAGAAGGAGGAGGCGGCAGGGGGAGAGAGAUCCACAGUGCUUCAUUUAUAGAAAACGACAACUAUUUAAAUAGCUUCUACCUUUGCCCAGAAGCAUAUAACCUCCUCUCCCUUUAUAGGCUUUCCCCCCUGUGUUUCAUCAGCACAUCUCAGCAUUGAUUGCAAUCUAUAGACUGCAAGGUCUAGAUUAAGAGUCACGUGACUUUUAGCCUCUGGGCAAUGCAUUCAGCCAUUAUCGGUUGUCCAUCCAAGCAAAGAGAAGCCUUCCUGUGUUACCAGGAGCCUUUGGGAAUACGUUAGCCUUGAAUCUCGCCUCUGAAAUGCUGGAAAAAAUAAAUAAGGUGCCACCCUUUUUCUGUGCAGAUGGAAGUUCUGCAUCGAGCAAGAGCAGCUUAAAGGGGAGACUCUUUAUGAGUGAAAUUAAUUGGUAAAGCUCCUUAGCCUAAAACUCCAAAUGAAUAAUAAAAAGUCUAGCUUCAUCACUAACAUAUGAGCCAGAAAUUGGGAGUUUUUCAUAUAGCAGGAGACAUCAACCAUCAUCCAAUGAUUUCAUACCAUGAGUGCUUCAUAAGGUAAGCUAGAAAUCAGAAGAGCAGGGGCUGCCCUGUUCAUUUUGAGUAUGAAAAUAUUUCAUGCAAAGAUGCUGAUUUUAGGGGGGUGGGGUGGGAUGAUAACAACUGACUGGUGCACUUUUACAAAACAAAAUCAGGUUUCCUAUUGAAAAUUCUUGCUCUUUGUUUAAAUUAUUGAUUUUUGUUUUUGUUUUUGUACUACACUCCCCAUAGUGCCCCAGGUUUACAUUUAAAAUGAAGCUCCUCUUCCACUUGAGCCAGCGGACUUGCUAAAGUUGCAGCCACAGCAAAGCUGAGAAAGGUUCCGAUUCCAAGUGGGAAACUGGAAUCUUCCUUGUAAGCAGACCUUCUCAUGAAUGAGCACCCAAGUAAGAGUCCUGCUUAUUCGUAUUAUGCUUCUCUAACAGCCUUCCUCAACCUAGUGCCCUCCAGAUGUUUUGAACUACAACUCCCAUGAUGCACAACCACACUGGCUAUUCUUGCUGGGGCUUAUGGGACACAUAGUCCAAAAACUGUGGAGGGCACCAGGCUGGGGGAGGAUUUUCUGUCAGUUUUAUACUAGUUUAAUUACCAUUCCUUUCUCCACAGAAUCCUGGGAAUUGUAGUUCAGUGACCCUGUUGAAAACUCUGUUAGAAAUUCCUAGUGACUGCUGCACUCCUUUACAUAACUACAGUUCCCAAGGUCCACCGCCCGGGCAACAGCAAAUAAUUAUUAACACCGUUUGCCUGUAGUGUGCAUAUGCCUCAAAAAGAAAAAGCCAUGGGGGUUUUCCUCUAGCGAAUUCAACAGCACAGUCUCUUCUUACAGCUACAUUUCUCAGUUUUCCUAAUUAAUGUGUGACAAAUGUUGAGAAAGUCGGGGAGGGGGGAAGGGAGGCAAGUAGCUUUGAAAAUACUUCCCACCUUGAUUUUUGGAAUCACGUUUGGGAUGAUUCAAGGCCCUUUUACUUCCGUCUGUCGUUCACAGUAGUGAGCACAAAAAAAUAAAUAGAAGUGCUUUGACGGUGGGGUUGCUGCUUCUCCUUGGCCCAGUCCCACAAGUAACCUUCAGAAAAGGGAGAUUGCACAGAAUAAAGAAGAUGCUCCUAUGUUUUGCCCAGUAGCACUACUGGUAACCAGGGCAAGGAGCCCCAAGCAGCACCUUGGGAUCUAAGGUCUACAGCUGUUCUCCAAGCCUAUAGCAUCAUCUCAGGCCAGCCUAAGAGCUAUAGCUUCGAGGAGGAAAUGGCUGGUUCUGCACAACAUGGAGUCUCUGUGCUGUAAGGAUGGGGAGAACUAAGAGGUAUCAGCCACAGAAGCUUCCAUUAAUUUCCCCCUCAGCCCUGAGCCAGUUUCAACCGAAUAAUAAUAACUGAUGAAACACAUCAGAGGCAGCCUGAACCAGCUGUGGGAAAGUGAGGCUGCGCCAUUUUGAAUAAGGCUACCUACCUCCACAACCUGUCAGGGAUGACAACUGAUAGCCAAUUGUUUGGACUUACUUAAGUCGGCUAGAAAAGAGAGGGAAUGAUGGGCUCAUGAUGACCAACUGGGUGACUGAUGGAGCCCAGCUCUGCUACAAAGAAAUCUUCUCCUUGCAGAUAUUUGGAGUGAUGGCAACACCCACUUCUGACGGAUCCGUCGAGAAAAUGUUGGGAAAUGUGCAUCUGUGUUUAUUUUUGUAACAUGAUAGCUUUCUAUAAAGGCCCUUUCUAGACAGCCUGCAAGACUUUCACCAUGGAAACCAUUAGGCUUGGCAAUUUAUUUUUGUAGCUGUUAAAAGAUCUGCAUCACCCGGGCUCUGAAUUUUUAUACUGAUUCAGCUAGAAAUUGAGCAGCAAGAGGAAUAAAAAUUCCCUCCCUUCGUGCAUUCAACUAAAACUAUCCAUGCCAUGACAUUUUGUUCAACCUUAGUAUUAUUUCCCCAUACAUGUCACCUCUCCCCUUAUGGAUGACACAGUCAAGUUGUUACCUUUUGCAUUUAUUUAUAAGCAAAGAAAAGAAAAUGGAGAGGCUUUCAUCUUCUUGGCAACCACAUCCUCUGACCUGGUUUCUCCUAUAUGUGAGGAUACAUAGAAUGGUCAAGGACCAUAUAUUCUGCUGAAGUGCUAAAUAUGCAGGAUGUGGAAACAGCCACAGAAGUCACGCCAUGUUGAGAAUCUCAGCAUUUUUAAAAGGAGCAAGUUUCCAGUCCCUAUGGCCAUGAAGAUACACUUUAAAAUGUGCAGGAAAUACUUCCUGGAAUCUCAGAAGGUUGAAGGGGAGGCUGAAACAGAGUUUCAGGUCAGGCACAGAAUGUCAACACUCUGCAGGGCUCCUCAUCCCCUCCAUACAGCUGGCAAAAUCAGAGAUUGUGCAUAGGAUGCAAACUGCAGAAAUGUUCAGAAUUCAUUAUACAAAAUAAGACAGAUUACCGAAUUUUCAUAAUUUAUACCAGACGCAGAAUUCGGCUUUCCUUGCUGCACGGUUCAGAUUGCCAAUGUAACAAAUUUAUCAUCAAUUUUGCACAUGGCCCAAACCAUGGUGUCUUUAUUUAUAUGCUUUUCUUUUGUUUGCCUUGCGUACUCAAAGAGUCUACUCAACAGACAGAGAUACUGCUUUGUGCAGAUGCAUUCUUUCAUAUACCCUGGAGUGUUGGGGAAAGGACUCGGGAUUAUAGUUAGGCUUUACUCACUGGCUGUUCUCCUAACAAGAAACAAAAUCAUCAGCAUUCAAAGAAGAUGGUGAGAGAAUGCUCCUAAAUCCUCCCAAACCAAAAGAUAUUUUUUUUCUCCACCCGGUCAUUCGUUGGGUUUGUUAUGCUCCCAAUAAGCAGCUUUUGUGGUCAUUACGGGUCCCUACUGUGCUCUGAAAUUUACUCAUCCAGAUAAGCUGUUUACUGCAUCCUGAAUGCCAUAACCUUCUCCCAUGACCUUAAUCAUUCUAAUGAACAGUCUAUGUUGGAAAGGGAGUCAUUUUCACAGUCUUUUAGGCUUGGCUGCAACCAAACAUACCUGCAAAAAGCCUUUCAAAGGGGUCCCACCCUCUUAAUUUAUCUGCACCCUUUACAGUUUGGUUCCUAAUGGGAACUCCAUGCUCAGUUCACGCCUUUGAGUCCAGCUCCAAAACGUUGCCAUCUGGAUUCUUAGAGCUCAGGGGAAGGGGACCUGAGGUCACAAACCUGAAACAUGCUCUUAACCUUUCAUGUUAAGAUGGGAUAUUGCUCUUAAAAAAGAAAGAAAGAAUGAGUGCAAGCACUUUGGAGGUGCUAAGGCGUCAUUUGUUGUUGUUCCUCUGCCUGCCUGCCUCCCCUGCUCUUCUGAAGCAACAGAGAUGCCAGGCUAGCAGAUCUGCAGCAGUGAAUUAAAUGUACUGACACGGUAAUAAUACACAGUGCAGAUGAACCUGCAAGAGCCAGCCUCCGCUUCUGCAGUGCUGCGAUGAAUGGGCUCCUUGUGACUUUCACAGAGCAGCCACUGCAGCACAAGAAAACAGAGAGGUGUGUUGCUUGCCAAAAGCUGAUUAACAAGCAAAUAGAAUAUAGAUGGACAUGGGAAUGCAAAAAGAGGGGGGGUAACACUGGGUGAAGGAUGCUCCCCCAAACCUUUAGUUUAACUGCUGAGCAGGACAGAGAGAAUGCACAGCACCCUAUGGCAUCUUAAAGACUAAUAUAAUUGUUGCGGAGAGAAGAGCUUUCGUAGACAUGAUGAUAAUCGUGUACACUGAUUUUCCCCACCCCUCCCGGGCCUUCAGCAUCUCCUGGCAAUGAGAAAUGUGCCGGCCUUUUAAGAUGCCGUGGAUUCUUCACUGCCUAUGUUAAGACACACCAAGAUUAGGGCUCUCUUUUGGAAUAAGCCACAGAAAAGUGAUCGUGCAGUCAGCAAAGAGAGGGUUAAGAUUCCUUUCUCUUCUUGCUGUAACCCGCUCUCCUCCGAACAGGACCUGACAGCGAGUUGGUGUGAGUUUGCAUUUCCCCUUCAAGCUGAAAUUUAAUCCCACGAAACAUUAAUAUCUCUGGAACCAGCAAUGGCGGUGGGGAGAUUUGCAAAGAAAUGUUUGCUGACUCAUGAAAGCUGGUAGAUCUUGUUCUCUCCGAGAAAUAAAAAGAGCUGGCUUCCCAAUGCCUGCCUGUUAUACGGUGGGAUGGGACCAAUGAACACACCAGGUUCUGAGGCGUUCUCCAAACAGUCAAAUUGGAGUUGCAAAUGAAAUGCUCUGGCCAGAUUUAUGCUGAAAAUUUAUAUGGUGAUCAUUUCCCCUUCCCGGGGAAAUGUAAAGAGUUGAGCUCUGUGAGGUGGAAGAAGCCAGGGGGCUCGUAACACAGAAAUCCACAACACCUCACCAAACUCCAAUUCUGAAUAUUAUUCAGAGAGAAAAACAGGAAAGGUAUAAAAGCUACAUGUUUGUGCAGUUGUGCUGUUUGUUGCUAUUAUUGAAGUUACUGGGUAGGUACGUCUAAGCCACAGAGCUGGAAGGUAGGAUCGAACCAUAGGCCUCCACACAUAAGUAGACAUAGCCAAGGUUGUUUCGGGAAUGGCUGAUCUAGGGCAGGCCGGCAGGGUUUCUGACUCCCUGAGUCAAAUGCAGACAAGCAGCCAAAUACUUGGGUGUUCCUGGUGACUGACAAUCCACACUAUUUUGGCACUGCCCAGCAGGCAGCAAACAUUGGGGCUUGACUGUGCAAGGCUGACACAAGGAAAUAAGGUAAAAGAUGCCUGCUUCUUGGGAGAAAAGCAAUGACAAACCUAGACAGCAUCUUAAAAAGCAGAGACAUCACCUUGCCAACAAAGGUCCGUAUAGUAAAAGCUAUGGUUUUCCCAGUAGUGAUGUAUGGAAGUGAGAGCUGGACCAUAAAGAAGGCUGAUCGCCAAAGAAUUGAUGCUUUUGAAUUAUGGUGCUGGAGGAGACUCUUGAGAGUCCCAUGGACUGCAAGAAGAUCAAACCUCUCCAUUCUGAAGGAAAUCAGCCCUGAGUGCUCACUGGAAGGACAGAUCGUGAAGCUGAGACUCCAAUACUUUGGCCACCUCAUGAGAAGAGAAGACUCCCUGGAAAAGACCCUGAUGUUGGGAAAGACUGAGGGCAGAAGGAGAAGGGGACGACAGAGGACGAGAUGGUUGGACAGUGUUCUCGAAGCUAUGAACAUGAGUUUGACCAAGCUGCGGGAGGCAGUGGAAGACAGGAGUGCCUGGCGUGCUCUGGUCCAUGGGGUCACGAAGAGUCGGACACGACUAAACGACUAAACAACAACAUACAACACUAUGCAAAGCUUGGCUAGUCACAACCCAUACAGACCUGCUUAUCAUCCAUAAAUAGCCCUUGUUUAUAUGGAUACCAAAUGCAAGGGUUGUUUUGGAUGUAAACUCUUGUGCUGACCCGUAACCCUUAUGCUGUACUGUUCUUGUAGCACAUUGUAAAAUCCACCAUCUAGUCCAACCACCUGCCAUGCAGGAAUAUGCAGCUGUCCCAGACUCGAACCUGCAACCUUGGCAUUAUCAGCACCAUGCUCUAGCCGUCUGAGCUAUCCAGCUGAUCAAUAUGCCAAGGUCACUCACCUGAGAUAAAAGUGGCAAAUCUAGUGCCUUGACUAAGCAAGGGCUCUCCCUUUUCUCUCUCGCUUGCAGUGCUUCACUGCUGAACAUGUUAAUCACUGCCGAGACUGAAAUAACCUAAGGGAAUAUCAUCCCAGAAUUAUGUAUUCCAUUAACAAGCCUUCUACUUUAAGUCUGUAUGCAAUAUUCAGAAGUAACAGAGUGGGAACUUCUCUCCUGAUUUGAUUCUCCAUCUUUCAGACUCAGCAGGUUGAGAAUUUGGAGGAUGCCCAUUUUAAAAAGGAAAGAUUCUGGAUGAGAUUCACUGAAAAAUUGACAUCUCUGAGGGAGCCAUGCCUGUGCCACUCAAUACCAGCUAAAAAUGUCAAUGUCCCUAUUCAAUCUGCAGCUGUGUGUAUUUACUGAUGUAAUUGAAAGUCCAGCC